rnacentral:misc_RNA from 1 species
CAACCAUCAAGCCCAAGCUUGGUAUUGGAUGCCACCUGGCUUUGGUGCAUCUCAAAACUAGUGGCGGUGCCAUUUAGCUUCAAGCGUAGUAAAAUUUCUCGCUUCUGGAGUUUAGGUUGUGCCUGCUUUAGAACCCCAUAAUUUAUG